rnacentral:rRNA from 1 species
CCUACGGGGGGCUGCAGUGGGGAAUAUUGCACAAUGGGCGCAAGCCUGAUGCAGCCAUGCCGCGUGUGUGAAGAAGGCCUUCGGGUUGUAAAGCACUUUCAGCGGGGAGGAAGGCGGUGAGGUUAAUAACCUCAUCGAUUGACGUUACCCGCAGAAGAAGCACCGGCUAACUCCGUGCCAGCAGCCGCGGUAAUACGGAGGGUGCAAGCGUUAAUCGGAAUUACUGGGCGUAAAGCGCACGCAGGCGGUCUGUCAAGUCGGAUGUGAAAUCCCCGGGCUCAACCUGGGAACUGCAUUCGAAACUGGCAGGCUAGAGUCUUGUAGAGGGGGGUAGAAUUCCAGGUGUAGCGGUGAAAUGCGUAGAGAUCUGGAGGAAUACCGGUGGCGAAGGCGGCCCCCUGGAUAAAGACUGACGCUCAGGUGCGAAAGCGUGGGGAGCAAACAGGAUUAGAUACCCGAGUAGUC